GGGGAUAUAGUUCAGUGGUAUAACCCCUGCUUUUCAUGUAUGUGGUUCUGGGUUCAAUCUCCAAAAGAGACCUCA